UACGGAGGGGGCUAGCGUUGUUCGGAAUUACUGGGCGUAAAGCGCGCGUAGGCGGACCUGCAAGUCGGGGGUGAAAGCCCGAGGCUCAACCUCGGAACUGCCUUCGAUACUGCGGGUCUCGAGUCCGGGAGAGGUGAGUGGAAUUCCUAGUGUAGAGGUGAAAUUCGUAGAUAAUUAGGAAGAACACCAGUGGCGAAGGCGGCUCAGCUGGCCCGGUACUGACGCGUGAGGCGACGAAAGCGUGGGGAGCAAACAGG
rnacentral:rRNA from 1 species